rnacentral:lncRNA from 1 species
ACAUCUAUGGAUAGACAACAUUUUAUGAAGCGAACAAAACUAGUUCGAUAUUUUUCUGAUUUUUUUUAUAAAAUUUAGCGAAUUUUGCAAGAUCUUUGUUUUACAGAAAAAAGAAAAAACAGAAGAAAAGAAAAAAGUCUUACAUGGCCCAGCCCACAAUGAAGGUGGCCCAACUUCAAGGAUUCAACUUAGAUUGAAAAAGAAGCCCAACAGAAGAGCUACUUGCACCUAGAUAUUUUACAUGAGGAAUCCUAAUUUAUUUUAAAAACUAACAUCUUAACGUGGAAAGCUUAGGUUGAAAAAGAAGACUCUUCCACCUUUUCUUUCUCUCUAGCAUCUUCACUUUUGGAUCCUGUAUUUCUUUUCCCACCUAGGCUCA